AACUCACCUGCAGUGCGUCAUCACGAAAGCGCCGUGCUUGCAGUAAACUUUGAGUGGGAACGGAAGCGUCCCUCC